rnacentral:rRNA from 1 species
UACGUAGGGGGCAAGCGUUGUCCGGAAUCAUUGGGCGUAAAGAGCGUGUAGGCGGCCAGAUAAGUCCGCUGUGAAAACUCGAGGCUCAACUUCGAGCUGUCGGUGGAAACUAUUUGGCUAGAGUCCGGAAGGGGCGAGUGGAAUUCCUGGUGUAGCGGUGAAAUGCGCAGAUAUCAGGAGGAACACCAAUGGCGAAGGCAGCUCGCUGGGACGUGACUGACGCUGAGACGCGAAAGCGUGGGGAGCAAACAGG